GCAGGUGUAGUCUAGUCUGGUUUAGGACGUUGGCCUUCCAAGCCAACAACUCGGGUUCGAAUCCCGGCACCUGCA
rnacentral:tRNA from 1 species